ACCAAACCCACAUGCAUACUAAAUUCCUAAUUAUAACUUCAACCACCUACCCCAAUAGAAAAGCCCCAUGCCCACACAAAUGAGAGGCUUAGUGACAACGGAUAGAGACCCAUCUAAUAGACCUGGCAUACUGAAGAGACAGCACCAUUGCCACCGCACCAGAAAACCAACAAAGCCAAAACACUGGGGAACUGCAAGCACACAGGAAGCACUGUACGGGGAAGCUCUGCCACCACGAAACAUACACGUCUUUAAAGCCACCGAAAAGAGGCAGAUUUCCCUGAAAAUAUCGUCUCCUUUGAUAAACAAGUGAGCCAAAAAAACAAACAGGCAAAAGCAACUGAAAAAAGUAGUUAGGAACCCAGUAGAUGCCAGUGAAAAGGAAAAGCAUAGCAGAGCUCAGGCCUCUCAAUCUCAUCUAUCCCAUUGAACUGCCGGUAAUUUUUUAUUUAUACCAUCAGACGCCCCUUUGAGAUGCAAGCAAAGAGGGCCACCCCCUGGAAUAGCUUCUAAA
rnacentral:misc_RNA from 1 species